AAGAAGCAUUGGAUCCCAGAGAUGGAAUGGGAAAUGGAGAUGUUGAAGAGGCGGGUUGAUUAGUUCUGGUUGGAGGGCUACGAACUCCUUCUCAUUGUUCCGCUCCUCUUCUCUUCUUUAAUGGUUGACCAGGCACUGAAGGUCGAUCAUCUGUGUUCACCUGGUAUGGAUAUAAUUGAAGAGUGGAGGUGAAGGGCUCCUGUCAUCCGGCAAUGCAAGACCCACUCCAGAUCGAUGCCUCUUGGUCAGACCAUUUCCGUAUACUGAGAUUGACGACAUAGCGAGAACACCGAGAUCAUUCCGUCAGAGGUUAUUGCAGUGCUUAUUGAAUUGUCAACAAUCCUUCCUCUCUUCACAUCUGCUAGAAAGAAUUAUUAGGGCUUUGGAGAGUGAAUAGCUAUUCUUUUUCUCACAUCUCGAUUUCUGCCUUCUUUGGGAAGAUAAGAGACUUUGCUGCUCUCCCACCUUCAACUAAGGUAGUCGCUUAGCUAACUCAAAAAGCAUCCUCUAAC
rnacentral:lncRNA from 1 species